rnacentral:rRNA from 1 species
GAACACCCGGCGAAUUUAAGCAUAUUACUAAACCGGAGGAAAAGAAACAACAGGACGUCCUCAGUAGCGGCGAGCGAAGCGGACGAUGCCCAAACCGAAACCGCGGUUCCCGAGGGGCCGCGGAGUGUGGAGAGGAUGAGCUCGCGAGGGGGCGGGACGGGUUCCAAUCCGUCUGGAAGGGCGGAGGCACGGAGGGCGAUUCCCCGUACGUGCUCGGUCCGUCCCCGACGAGCGAACGCAUCGGAGAGUCGGGCCGCUUGAGAGUGCAGCCCGAAUGGGGUGAUAGGUCUCAUCCAAGGCUAAGUACGUGGGAGACGCCGAUAGCGAACAAGUACGGCGACGGAAAGGUGAAAAGAACCUCGAAAAGGGGGGUCAAAAAGCGCUCGAAAUCGUAGAGGGGGAAGCGGACCUGACCGACGAGACCUCGUCGUCGCUCGCGCUCGACCCA